CUCGCAUCUACUCCCAUCCUCGUUCUCUUUGUUGCAGUCUUAGAAAAUUCCGAGGAAGAGAUUCUACUACCACAAGUGUAUUGUUUCCUAUUUUUUUUUAUUUUUUUCAUUUUUCAGACAACUAAAGUAUUUUUUUUGGAUUAAGCCUUUUAGCAAAUAUACGCGUUGUUAUAAUAGAAUCGGAUGAAACCAGAUUGUUAUCCUUUGAGGAUGAAAUCGCCGC
rnacentral:lncRNA from 1 species